CUACGGGGGGCUGCAGUGGGGAAUAUUGGACAAUGGGCGAAAGCCUGAUCCAGCCAUGCCGCGUGUGUGAAGAAGGCCUUCGGGUUGUAAAGCACUUUCAGUGGGGAAGAAAGCCUUGGGGCUAAUACCCUCGAGGAAGGACAUCACCCACAGAAGAAGCACCGGCUAACUCCGUGCCAGCAGCCGCGGUAAUACGGAGGGUGCGAGCGUUAAUCGGAAUUACUGGGCGUAAAGCGCGCGUAGGCGGUCUGAUAAGCCGGUUGUGAAAGCCCCGGGCUCAACCUGGGAACGGCAUCCGGAACUGUCAGGCUAGAGUGCAGGAGAGGAAGGUAGAAUUCCCGGUGUAGCGGUGAAAUGCGUAGAGAUCGGGAGGAAUACCAGUGGCGAAGGCGGCCUUCUGGACUGACACUGACGCUGAGGUGCGAAAGCGUGGGUAGCAAACAGGAUUAGAUACCCGGUAGUC
rnacentral:rRNA from 1 species